AUGAGACAAAAGAUCCUCUUUCUAAAGAGAUAUGAUUCGGAACUCUUAUAUGUCCAAGGUCAAUAUGGAAAUUCUUUUAGAGGUUUUCCCUGUUCAUGUCAACAAACAAUUUGAAAUACCUCGACUUUUUUAGAACAGGUCCGAGUCAAAUAG
rnacentral:rRNA from 1 species